UACGUAGGGGGCAAGCGUUAUCCGGAAUUACUGGGCGUAAAGAGUGCGCAGGCGGCGCGAUAAGUUGGAUGCGAAAUCUGGUGGCUCAACCACUAGACUGUAUCUGAAACUAUCGCACUAGAGAGUAGUAGAGGCAAGCGGAACUUGCGGUGUAGCAGUGAAAUGUGUAGAUAUCGCAAAGAACACCAAUGGCGAAGGCAGCUUGCUGGGCUAUUUCUGACGCUCAGGCACGAAAGCGUGGGGAGCGAACGGG
rnacentral:rRNA from 1 species